AGUGAACGCUGGCGGUAGGCCUAACACAUGCAAGUCGAACGGCAGCACAGUAAGAGCUUGCUCUUACGGGUGGCGAGUGGCGGACGGGUGAGGAAUACAUCGGAAUCUACUUUUUUGUGGGGGAUAACGUAGGGAAACUUACGCUAAUACCGCAUACGACCUGCGGGUGAAAGCAGGGGAUCUUCGGACCUUGCGCGAUUGAAUGAGCCGAUGUCGGAUUAGCUAGUUGGCGGGGUAAAGGCCCACCAAGGCGACGAUCCGUAGCUGGUCUGAGAGGAUGAUCAGCCACACUGGAACUGAGACACGGUCCAGACUCCUACGGGAGGCAGCAGUGGGGAAUAUUGGACAAUGGGCGCAAGCCUGAUCCAACCAUACCGCGUGGGUGAAGAAGGCCUUCGGGUUGUAAAGCCCUUUUGUUGGGAAAGAAAAGCAGCAGGUUAAUACCCCGCUGUUCUGACGGUACCCAAAGAAUAAGCACCGGCUAACUUCGUG
rnacentral:rRNA from 1 species